rnacentral:rRNA from 1 species
UACAGAGGUCUCAAGCGUUGUUCGGAUUCAUUGGGCGUAAAGGGUGCGUAGGCGGCGCGGUAAGUCGGAUGUGAAAUCUCGGAGCUUAACUUCGAAACUGCAUUCGAUACUGCCGUGCUUGAGGACUGGAGAGGGACUGGAAUUUACGGUGUAGCGGUGAAAUGCGUAGAUAUCGUAAGGAAGACCAGUGGCGAAGGCGGGUCUCUGGACAGUUCCUGACGCUGAGGCACGAAGGUCAGGGGAGCAAACGGG